AGGCACUGCGGUACCUAGGUGACGGACGCCUUCCUCUUCUCGCAUACAGAGAUUUGGAGAUGAAAAAGGCGGUUCGCUCUUUCACUCAUUGAUUCUAUGAUUCUGUUUUCCAGGGCUGUCAUCUAGGAGAGCUGAGAGUACUGGACCCCAGUCAAAAUCAUUUGUUACACCAGUUACACUAUUUAAAACUCGUAACAAACUGUGGGGGCUCGUCCGGGAUCUCUCCUCAUCACAACCAGGGGGAGCAGAUCCAGAGAUACUAGGACCACGCGACCAAGGUGACAAGGCGCUGCUGCAGGCCAGGAGUCAACCCGUGGGUGUCCGAGGAGGGAGACCAAAGAGAAAAGGGAUUUCAACCUCGCUUAGGAGCUGCACUGCUGAUCCUGAGGCCAGCGCACGCUACUUACCAGAGGGCUACAUGCUGAUCCUGUGGUCAUCGCACACCAGCAUCAGGGGAUCUCAUCUGGGAUCGGGAGGUCGACACGCACACACACACACGCCACUUACUAAGUCACUACACCGCUGAUUUACUGAAUUCACAAACCACAAGGGGACAUCAGGACUACACACCAUGUCAGCAACUCGUAAAGAAUUAGUAUGGGGCAUCAAGAAACAGCUAUUCAGACUCUCAAGCAACGACAUGUAACGACUGAGACAAAUCAGACACAAUUAUUUGUUAUAGGUAACCAAUAAUUGUUUGAAUCACUUUGGGGCCUGUCCCCCAUCCCCCGAGAAGUUCUCUGUUACAAGUUUUAUUGAGCUAAAGAAUGUGGUUGCCACGUGAAAGAGCAGAGAAGAGACACAGAAACGUGCAUCUUUCCUGCAUUUUCCCCACAGAACACAGACUUUCCUGCAUUAAUUUAUAGACAGACCGUUCUAUAAAUGAACAUGCACAUCCCUAGGAAACGGUAUCCAUUAUUGCUGUUGUUGUAUUGCACUCAUUGUAUUCGCAUGUUUUAUGAUACAUUUAAGGUAACUUCAAUCAUGCCAUGUUUAGUGUCUAUGGGUUCGUACCGAGAAGAUUUAAAUGCUUGUGUAUGCGGUAUGUCCAUACCUGUGCAACACAUCAGUAUUACAAGAAUCUUUAAUAGUUCUUCUUCAAAACUCAGCCAGUUAUUCUUGCUCGGUCGUAAAAGCCCUGACAGGAGGUGUGUUAUCGCCCGGAAAUACAACAUCUUCAUUGGUCCGGUCAGCAACUAAGAGGUGUGACUUUGAACAGAGGUUAAAAGCCAGUGAACAAUGCAACUCCCUCUCUUUCCUUGCUUCUUGGACGACUGAAGAGACCCCCUUCUUGCUGCAGGCCUGCAGGCCUCGGCCUACAACCCAGCCAUGUGCUUAUCUAUAAGUUGUUUCAUAGUACUUCAUCUAACGCAGCAACAACUUCGGACCAAACCAUCAAGAUUACAACCCAGCCUGCAGAUCCGAUGCUCCUCAGCCUAAAGGCAUCUUGCAAGUAUCGUACAUUUGAACACUAAACAGCAAUUUAGUAUUUGUAAAACUUACCUUUGUCAGCAAAGGUGUUUUAUUACUGAGGAAACUGAUGAUUCUUUUCCAGAUUGUCUAUGACUUUUUCCUAUAGCUCUAUCAACAGUUCCACUUCCGGUUCAACUCUAUCAUUGCUCAUUCUUACCAACGUAUGUGUGUGACCUGUGUGUAUGUUAUGUGUCUGUUAGUUUAGUUAUGUGUUUGUGAGUUAGUUAAUAAAGAUUGUGCACAAUA